rnacentral:rRNA from 1 species
GGACCCGCACAAGUAGUGGAGCAUGUGGUUUAAUUCGAAGAUACGCGCAGAACCUUACCAACACUUGACAUGUUCGUCGCGACUUUAAGAGAUUAAAGUUUUCGGUUCGGCCGGACGAAACACAGGUGCUGCAUGGCUGUCGUCAGCUCGUGUCGUGAGAUGUUGGGUUAAGUCCCGCAACGAGCGCAACCCUCACUUUUAGUUGCCAUCAUUUAGUUGGGCACUCUGAAAGAACUGCCAGUGAUAAGCUGGAGGAAGGUGGGGAUGACGUCAAGUCCUCAUGGCCCUUACGUGUUGGGCUACACACGUGCUACAAUGGUAUCUACAACAGGAAGCAAAACGGCGACGUUAAGCAAAACCUUAAAGAUACCUCAGUUCGGAUUGCACUCUGCAACUCGAGUGCAUGAAGCUGGAAUUACUAGUAAUCG